rnacentral:misc_RNA from 1 species
AAGUCGUAACAAGGUUUCCGUAGGUGAACCUGCGGAAGGAUCAUUAAUGAAUAACUUUGGCGUGGUUGUAGCUGGCUCUUAGGAGCAUGUGCACGCCCGUCAUCUUUAUCUAUCCACCUGUGCAUCCAAUGUAGAUCUGGAUAACUCUCGUGCUUCGGCGCGGAAACAAAGACUGCUGUGUCGCAAGGCCAGCUUUCUUUGAAUUUCCAGGUCUAUGUCUUUACAAACCCCAAUUGAAUGAUGUAGAAUGUAAUCAAUGGGCUCUAAGCCUAUAAAAACGAUACAACUUUCAGCAACGGAUCUCUUGGCUCUC